UACGUAGGCAGCGAGCGUUGUUCGGAUUUACUGGGCGUAAAGCGCACGUAGGCGGAUCGUUAAGUCGGGGGUGAAAUCCUGGAGCUCAACUCCAGAACUGCCUUCGAUACUGGCGAUCUCGAGUCCGGAAGAGGUGAGUGGAACUCCUAGUGUAGAGGUGGAAUUCGUAGAUAUUAGGAAGAACACCAGUGGCGAAGGCGGCUCACUGGCCCGAUACUGACGCUGAGGCACGAAAGCGUGGGGAGCAAACAGGG
rnacentral:rRNA from 1 species